rnacentral:snRNA from 1 species
CUACCUCUCAGUCUUUUGGCUAAGGUCCAGUGUAAUAUCUGUUCCUAUGUUUAAUCUGUUUAAUAUCUGAUAUAUCCUCUAUCCAACAACAAUUACAUUAAAUAUAUUAAAUAAGUUUUUGGAAAUAGGAGAUGGAAUAGGUGCUUGCUCCAUCUACUCCACACACUGAUCAGGUAUUGCAGUGCCUCCAAAAACUGUGCACAUGCA